rnacentral:lncRNA from 1 species
UUGGGUUUGAGUGAAAUUCAUGACAGAUGUGAGAUUGUUAAUUAAUGGUUUACUUAAGGUGGCAACUUAAACUCACAUCUGGGUGGAUUGAGGUACCUGGGUAUUCCAGGAUUGCCUGUUUUUCUUUUGGACCGCCACCCAGGUUCAAAGGGAUCAUGAGAUUUUUCAUGCUAGAAACUUCCAUGUGCAGCCGCAAGCUAUUAUGGGCUCUAGCAUAGUUGAUUAAGUUGUGUGAACUCUUACAGUGGUAGACUAGCAGAUGUAGGGGAAAGUAGGUGUAACGGUCUACCCAUACGUAAGGUGCAAACACUUCUGAAAGAUUGUGUCUUGGUCAUCCGUUACUCAAACACCAUGUAGUGCGAGUAAUCCAACGGAGGAGAUCAAGUCUUGUGGGAAAAGUGCACAAACCUCUGCAGAGUGUAUAAACUGAUCAUGAUUAGCCGUGUCCCCGGUUAUGGACAACUUGAGUAUCUAGUACUUGGAUUAUCAUGUGAAUCUCAACACUAUGUUACUUCUAAUUAAUUUUGUUGGGUUAUUGAUGACUUUUUAAUUGGGAUUGAGAUGCUGUCAACCAUCUCAAUGUUUCACAACCACCAUGAUAGUUAAAUAAAAUUUAUUCCUUUGAAGUAGGAUAAAAUUGGCUUUUCGCAAAACUGUAACCAUAGAGCUUUCCACCAGCCACAUAUGCAUGUAGUAUAGCAUUAUUAUUGUUCAUUGCUUUCUAUGUGCUACAUUGCCAGCAUAUCCUAUGUGCUGACCCAUUUUCGGGCUGCAACGUUUCAUGUUGCAGAUUUUUCAGACGACGAGUAAGGUGCCUUAGGUCGUGGUCUUAUACUCAGUGAUGCCGCUGGAGUUGAUGUUCUCACUUAUCUUCCAAGUCUUCCGCUGUUAUCGUUAUUAGAUGGCCUUAAGCCAUGUUUAUUAUACUUAGUCUCUAUGGAGAUAUCCGAUGUAAUAAGUGUGUGAUUGCUACUCUGUUAUAAAUCCUCCAUUUGUACUAUGCGUGUCAGCAUUACUGAUCCAGGGAUGACACUGGUGCACAGCAGCACAGGCCAUUUGAGGUCUGGUCGCUACAAAGUUGGUAUCAGAGCACACGCUGACUAUAGGACACGACCACUAAGCUUAAGCCCUAGAAAGCUUCUCUCUUCUCAUUUCUGACUCCUCUCCACUUUCUACUCUUUUAGGAAUGGCGAAUGCAAGGAGCAAGUUCAUGCAACCCGACGAAGACACGCCAUUUGGACGACACCUGAAGGAAGUCACCAAGUACUUGAACAUAGGAAUACCAAGCGUCACCGGAACCUGCAACGCUACCUUACCUAAAGAGGAGAGCUGGAAGAUUCAAGUUAUCAUUCCAGGAAGGACGUUUGCUCCAAUUACGGAACCCAUAAGAUUGGUUUUCGAAGCACCAACUUGGAGUUUAGGGAAGAGCAUGGCCGCACAUAUCGCCAUGGGACGCAUUGGAGAAGUCUACCACCAGGAGCUUAAGGAUACGAUUUAUCAAAUUUGUGGACGUCGAGACGCGCAAUGGGAGAUGAUCAAGACCAAGAAGGAUGGAUCAAUUGCAGCUUUCAUCCAGGAACAGAACCAACAUAUUCGACGCCAGGAGAACCAGAUGUGCACGGACAAGGAAGAACUAAAGAAGGCAUUCACGAAGAUCAAGGAGCUCCAAGAAGAACUCAAGACUACACGCGAAGAUUAUUUGGAGGAAAUCAAUGCACUUGUCGGGAAGAUUGACGAUUUGGAGAAGAAGAUUGGAGCAUCCGUGGGAAAUCCAGCACCAGAAGCAGAAGUCAACGAAUGCACUUGUCCGGAUAACUACAUCAUCAUCGACGACACCGACUCGGAACCAAGUGAAGACGAUUGGAUUGAUGAAGCUGGAGCAGACAUCAUGGAGUCUUCAACGGAUCAGAAUUUUUAGUAGACCACCAUAUCAGUAGUAGUUUUCCCCCAUUUAGUAGUAUAGUUCAAGCACUUUGUAACGCUAGUUAUAUCGAUUGUUUUGUCUUGUUUGGAUUGAUUAAGUGAUAUUGAUUGAAUUUGUCUCAUGAGCAUAUGGGUAGUGUUUUCUCUCUAGACCUCAUUCUAUUCUUAAUUCUCAUCUUUUCUAAACCCAUCAGAUGCCUCCGAGACGCGACACCGGAUUUGUUUUCCCGCCAGAGAUCACCCAGUUGAUUCAGCAACAGAAUGCCUUGAUGCAAGUGUUAGUUCAGAACCAAGGCAACAACAACAACAACCCACCGCCGCCACCACCUGUUGAUCACCUAGCCCGUUUCUUAAGGCUAAACCCGCCGGUGUUUUCCAGUAGCACUGAGCCGAUUGUUGCAGAUGAUUGGCUCCGCAAGGUUGGAAGGGAGUUGACCACUGCAGGAUGCACAGAUGCGGAAAGAGUGCGUUUCGCCGCACAUCAGCUUGAUGGACCCGCAGCAUCAUGGUGGGAGAAUUACACAGCCACGCACCCUAUUGACACUGUCACAUGGGACCAGUUUCAGCAAGCUUUCCGUACAGCUCAUGUUUCAGCAGGAGCUAUGGCUAUGAAGAAGCGUGAGUUUCGUAACCUACGCCAAGGAGGACGCACCGUAGGCCAGUAUGUGGAGGAAUUCAGUAAGCUAGCACGUUAUGCAGCAGAUGACAUUGCUACAGAUGCAGCCAAGCAGGAAAAGUUUCUGGAAGGACUGAAUGACGAGCUGAGUAUGCAGUUGAUGAUAGCAACCUUCAACAACUACCAGGAGCUGGUAGAUAGAGCUCUCAUGAUUGAAGGGAAGCAACAGCAGAUUGAAAACCGUAAGAGGAAGUAUGGACAAGGGAAGUAUAACUCUGGAGCCCAGCAGAAGCCACGUUUUACCCCGAAGCCGGGAGGACAGUUUCAGCAUACCCAUGGAGGAGGUAGUUCGCACAACCAUAAUGGCUCCAAGAAUGGUAGUGGGAAUGGAGGAAGCAACGGACAGAACCGCACCAACCCAUCUACCCCAGCCAAGAGGGACCUGAGCCAAGUCACUUGUUUUAAGUGCCAGAAGAAUGGACAUUAUGCCAACGAAUGUCCCAAAGCCCAAAAUGGAAAUGGCAAUGGAAGCUCUGGGAAGAAGCCGAACCCGUUCAACAAAGGACAUGUGAACCACGUGAGCGUGGAGGAGGUUGAAGCUCAGCCUGAUGCAGUAAUAGGUAAGUUUUUGGUUAAGUCAUUUACUGCAACUAUUCUUUUCGAUACUGGUGCAUCGCAUUCAUUCAUAUCAAGGGGAUUCGUGGAUAAGUUUAAGAUGUCCACCAAAGUUCUCAGAAACCCUAUGUUAGUAACCUCGCCAGGAGCAGAGUAUAUGGCCACCCAAGGAUGUUUUCAGAUACCAUUGGCCAUUGGUAGGCAUGUUUUCCCCUCAGACCUCAUUGUUUUGGAAUCGCAAGGUUUGCAUGUGAUUCUGGGAAUGGAUUGGCUAUCGUUGUAUGGAGGAAACAUCGAUUGUGCCAGCAAGACGAUUUUUCUUACCACCCCAGAAGGAAAACGGAUCAAGUAUGUAUCCAGGCAUAUGCCGAAGAGGACUCAAGUGAAUUCCUUAUCAGGAGUUGUACAGGAGGAAGUACCAGUGGUGAAAGAUUAUCCGGAUGUAUUUCCAGAAGAGUUGCCAGGCAUGCCACCGGAUAGAGACAUUGAGUUCUUGAUUGAACUUUUGCCAGGCACCGGGCCAAUAUCUAAGAGACCGUAUAGGAUGCCCGCUAAGGAUUUGGAGGAAAUUAAGAAGCAGAUCAAGGAGUUACUGGAUAAAGGCUAUAUUCGCCCAAGUUCGUCACCUUGGGGAUCACCAGUACUUCUAGUGGAGAAGAAAGAUGGAUCACUAAGGAUGGUUGUUGAUUACCGAGGAUUGAAUGAAGUGACCAUCAAAAACAAGUACCCACUGCCAAUGAUAAAUGAUUUGUUCGACCGCCUGCAAGGAGCUAAAGUAUUUUCCAAGAUCGAUCUACGAUCAGGAUACCAUCAGUUAAAGAUUCGAGAGCAGGAUAUACCCAAGACGGCAUUUACCACCAGAUAUGGAUUGUAUGAGUAUACCGUUAUGUCAUUUGGGCUGACUAACGCACCUGCCUAUUUCAUGAACCUGAUGAACAAAGUAUUUAUGGAGUUUUUGGAUAAGUUCGUCGUGGUAUUCAUUGAUGAUAUUUUAAUCUUUUCCAAGGAUGAGGAAGAGCAUGAGGAGCAUUUGCGAUUGGUACUUGAGAAGCUCAGAGAACAUCAGUUAUAUGCCAAGUUCAGCAAAUGUGAGUUUUGGUUGAAGGAAGUUGGAUUCCUUGGACAUGUUAUUUCCGGAGAAGGAAUAGCAGUAGACCCUGCCAAGGUUGACACAGUGACAAGUUGGGAAUCACCCACGACAGUUGGAGAAAUCCGGAGUUUUCUUGGACUUGCAGGAUACUACCGGAGAUUCAUCGAGAAUUUCUCGAAGAUUGCUAAGCCCAUGACUGAGCUAUUGAAGAAGGACACCAAAUUCAAUUGGACUGAGGAAUGUGAAGCUAGUUUCCAAGAGUUGAAGAAACGAUCGGUUACAUCACCAGUGUUGAUUCUGCCAGAUCAACGCAAGGACUAUGAAGUUUAUUGCGACGCUUCUCGUCGAGGACUUGGAGCAGUGCUUAUGCAGGAAGGAAGAGUUGUUUCGUAUGCUUCACGACAACUUAAACCCCAUGAGAAGAAUUAUGCUACGCAUGAUUUGGAAUUAGCAGCCGUGGUGCAUGCAUUGAAGACAUGGAGACAUUUUCUCAUCGGAAACCAUUGUGAGGUGUACACGGAUCACAAGAGUUUGAAGUACAUUUUCACGCAGAAGGAGUUAAACCUCAGACAGAGGAGAUGGUUGGAGCUCAUCAAGGAUUAUGACAUGAUAUUGCAUUAUCACCCCGGAAAGGCUAACGUAGUAGCAGACGCGUUGAGCCGCAAGAGUCAUAUCAGCACCCUCAUGACAGGAGAGUUACCUCAGGAGUUAGCCGAGGACCUACGCGAGCUAUGUUUGGAGAUAGUCCCGAGAGGCUAUUUAGCGACAUUGGAGAUUCAGUCUACCUUGAUGGAAAGGAUCAGAGAAGCUCAGAAGUCAGACAAGAAGAUUAAAGAGAUAAAGGAGAAGUUGAGCAAAGGAAAAGCCAAGGGAUUUCGUGAAGAUGAGCACGAUACCUUAGGGUUUGAAGACCGUGUAUAUGUACCAAAUGAUCCGGAGAUCAGGAAGUUGAUUUUGCAAGAAGCCCAUGAUUCACCAUACUCGAUUCACCCAGGGAAUACCAAGAUGUAUUUGGAUUUGAAGAACACUUUCUGGUGGACCGGAAUGAAGAAGGAUAUUGCGGAGUAUGUAGCAGUUUGUGAUGUAUGUCAGAGAGUGAAGGCAGAGCAUCAGAAGCCAGCAGGAUUGCUGCAACCAUUGCCGAUACCCGAAUGGAAGUGGGAUAAAAUAGGCAUGGAUUUUAUCACAGGAUUACCAAGGACUCGUUCAGGCUAUGACUCGAUAUGGGUUGUAGUCGACCGUUUGACGAAAGUGGCUCAUUUCAUUCCAGUAAAGACCACUUACACCAGUGCUAAGUUGGCUAAGAUAUACAUGACCAGGAUCGUAUGUUUGCAUGGAGUUCCGAGGACCAUUGUAUCAGACAGAGGAACCCAAUUUACCUCGAAGUUUUGGAAGCAGUUACAUGAAACAUUGGGAACCAGGUUGGAAUUUAGUACAGCAUUUCACCCACAGACAGAUGGACAGACCGAGAGAGUCAACCAGAUCUUGGAGGACAUGCUGCGAGCAUGUGCACUAGAUUAUGGAUCUAGUUGGGACGACAAUUUGCCAUAUGCGGAGUUUUCAUAUAACAACAAUUAUCAAACCAGUUUGAAGAUGGCCCCUUUCGAAGCUUUGUACGGAAGGAGGUGUAGAACACCGUUGCUAUGGGACGAAGUUGGAGACCGUCAGUUGUUUGGACCAGAUUUGAUUAAGGAGUCUGAACAGAAAGUAAGGUUGAUUCGCGAUAGGGUCAAGGUAGCCCAGUCCAGGCAGAAGAGUUAUGCUGAUUCUAAACGAAAAGAGACAGUUCACGAAGUCGGAGACCGAGUGUAUCUUCGAGUAUCACCCCUUCGAGGAGUGAAGCGCUUUGGAGUUAAGGGAAAGUUAGCGCCCCGUUUUAUCGGACCAUACAGAGUGUUGGAACGUAUGGGAGAAGUUGCUUACAAGCUGGAAUUGCCCGAAGGAUUGUCUGAAGUACAUGAUGUAUUUCAUGUUUCGCAGUUGAAGAAGUGCCACGCAGAGAUGGCUGAGAUACCACUGAGAGAUACUGUGCCACUGGAAGCGAUUCAGUUGGAAAGUGAUUUGACUUAUGAGGAGAAACCAGUUAAGAUUCUCGAGUAUGCCAGCCGAGUUACCCGCAGCAAGGUUAUCAAGUUUUGCAAAGUUAAGUGGAGUCACCACACGGAAGAUGAGGCCACCUGGGAGCGAGAGGAAGAUCUACGGAAAAACCACUUCCACCUGUUUUCUAGCCAACCCGAAUCUCGAGGGCGAGAUUCAUCUUAAGGGGGGUAGGUUUGUAACAUCCCAAAUUUUCAAUUUGGAAUGUUAUACAUAGAUCAUCAUUGCAUAUUAUGUUUUAUUGCAAUUUGACAAAUCCUCGAUAAAUCCUAAACAACUCAAGGACCCUCGGAGAGAGUUGGGGAUUUUCUCGAAUUUUCUUAUUUGAUUUUUCAAACGAGGAUUGGGAUUUUAAUUAUUUUUCUCUCCGAAAAAAAAUAUUUCAUUUUUAAAAUAAACGAGAGGAGAAAAUAUGACUUCUCCAAAACAAUUGAAAUACUGGAGGAAAAAUGUUAAAAUAAUUAUUUGGAAUUUAUUGGAUUUUAUUUGCAAUUUUAUUGCAUUUAAAAAUAUGCAUGUUUUCAAAAUGUUUAUUUUUGAUUUUAAAAAUGUUCACCCUACUCUAGAUUUUCUAACUAGACGGGGAAAAUUUAUUUCAUAUUUUUCUGAUUUCUAUUUAUUUUUUUAUGCAAUUUUCUUCGCGGAACUUAAAAAAAAAACACGCCCGCGCCGCCUGGGCCAAAGGCUCAGCCGACGGCCCGCCCCGCCGCGGCCUCUCCUUCUUCCCCACGCCGCCGGAGUCCGGCCACGCCACGGGAGCUCGCCUCCGCCUCGGUGCCCCCUUCCCCAAGCCUCUAGCCCCCCCUCUCCAUAUAUACCCCCCUCUCCGUUUUCGCCAUCACCGCCGCCGGAGAAGCCGCCNNNNNNNNNNNNNNNNNNNNNNNNNNNNNNNNNNNNNNNNNNNNNNNNNNNNNNNNNNNNNNNNNNNNNNNNNNNNNNNNNNNNNNNNNNNNNNNNNNNNNNNNNNNNNNNNNNNNNNNNNNNNNNNNNNNNNNNNNNNNNNNNNNNNNNNNNNNNNNNNNNNNNNNNNNNNNNNNNNNNNNNNNNNNNNNNNNNNNGAGUUCUUAAGUUGAACUUUCUGGUUGGAUCUUUCAUUCGAGUUUUACCUGUGCAUUAGUUGAGUACUGAUUGUAUGCUUGUUUGUUUGCGAUAGAGUACCCGGAGUGUGCCGCUUGUUACUUCGAAUCGCUAGGUUUUGCGGAUCAUCAGCAAGGCAAGUAACACUUUGAUCAUACCCCGUUCAUACCCAGUUUUAUUGCAUUAGAUCUAUUCCUUCAAACACAUUGCAUGAUUAGGAUCUAAUAAACUGUGGGUAUUGGGAAGUAGUUGAGGUAGUACCUAUUACCUGUUUUUCUAUCAAACCCUUGGGAGUUACUUCUACGUUGCUUUUAUUAUUGCCAUGCUAUGCUCGUAGACGUGGAUUGGGUUUGAGUGAAAUUCAUGACAGAUGUGAGAUUGUUAAUUAAUGGUUUACUUAAGGUGGCAACUUAAACUCACAUCUGGGUGGAUUGAGGUACCUGGGUAUUCCAUGAUUGCCUAUUUUUCUUUUGGACCGCCACCCAGGUUCAAAGGGAUCAUGAGAUUUUUCAUGCUAGAAACUUCCAUGUGCAGCCGCAAGCUAUUAUGGGCUCUAGCAUAGUUGAUUAAGUUGUGUGAACUCUUACAGUGGUAGACUAGCAGAUGUAGGGGA